AACGCGAAGAACCUUACCUGGGCUCGAACGGCUAGUCAACGAUCGUGGAAACACGGUUACUCCGCAAGGGGGUCUAGUCGAGGUGCUGCAUGGCUGUCGUCAGCUCGUGUCGUGAGAUGUUGGGUUAAGUCCCGCAACGAGCGCAACCCUUGUCCUGUGUUGCCAUCAUUCAGUUGGGAACUCGCAGGAGACCGCCAGCGAUAAGCUGGAGGAAGGUGGGGAUGACGUCAAGUCCUCAUGGCCUUUAUGUCCAGGGCUACACACGUGCUACAAUGGCCGGUACAACGCGCCGCUAAGUCGCAAGACGGAGCCAAUCGCAAAAAACCGGUCUCAGUUCGGAUUGCAGGCUGCAACUCGCCUGCAUGAAGCUGGAAUCGCUAGUAAUGGCGGAUCAGAACGCCGCCGUGAAUACGUUCCCGGGCCUUGUACACACCGGUACUA
rnacentral:rRNA from 1 species